rnacentral:lncRNA from 1 species
UCGGGUUCCGAUGAGGGUAAUCGAUUUGGGAAUGUGGUUAUUGAUGGGAUUCGACCGGAUGAGACUUCAAAUCAAGUUUUGGAAAUUAUUGAUAUGAUCAGAAUGGGUGAGAGUGAUUUAAAGUCCAAGUUGAAUUCCAUGAAUGUAAGUCUAUCUCCUGCCUCCAUUACUCGGGUUUUCGAGGUUUUGAAUUCUGAAAAGGUACCUGCUUUAUGUUUCUUUGAUUGGAUUAGGGAUUCACAACCCAUUGGUUGUUAUGGGAAUGAAAUAUGUAGCUUGGUUAUUGAUAAUUGUGGGCGGGUAGGUGAUUACCCUGCAAUGCUUCAGAUUUUGAAAGAUUUGCAAUCCGAGGAAAUUCGUCUCACCCAAAAGGCAUUUGGGUUUAUAUCUCCAAAUAAGGCUUCUGUUGUCAAAGUGGUAGAGGUUUUGAAUAAAGUUGGUGGACUGUGUCGGGCAACUGGAGUGCUCUCUUUGAUUGAGAUGUUUAGUGUCAAGGGUUUAUUUGAAAUGGCUGAGUUUGUGAUGAAGAAAACAGAGAGGAAGAGAUGUUAUUACAUUAUAAUGAUCAGAGAAACUUGUCGGGGAAGAAAUUUUGGCAGAGCUGUUGAUAUGCUUGAUGAGAUGAGGCAAGUGGGUUGUGACCCAGAUGCCAAAACUUACAAUUAUCUACUCAGUAGCUUAUGCAAGAACCAUAAAUUUGCUGAAGCUACUAAACUAUAUGAAGAAAUGCUAGAAAGGAAUUGUCAACCUGAUGGCAUAACCUACGAAAUAUUUAUUUUUUACUUAUUUAAAGUUGGAAAUCUUGAUUUUGCAAGACAGUUAUUUGAUAGAAUGAUAUUGGAGGGCAUUAAACCUCGUGUUUCAACACAUGCUGCCUUUAUCAAGGGUUAUUUUAACUUGCGGAGAUAUAAGGAAGCAUAUAAUUACGUUGUUGAUUUAGCUGCUAAAGACAGUUUCUCUAGCAGUUCAGUGUACAGCUUGCUGGCAAGGCUUUAUAUGAAGGAAGGAAAUGCAGUCGUUGCCCAAAAUAUUCUGACCGAAAUGAUUAAUAAGGGUUUUAGACCAGAUUAUUCAGUGUAUGUGAGAGUUUUGAAACGGCUGUCCAAGUCAGGCAGAAGUGGUUUGGCUGAAGAUUUGGAAAGCAGGUUCUCUAGUCUAGCAGGAACUGGAUGAUGUAUUCCAGAAAACGUGUUCGCCUUGUUUUCAUGUAGAUUACCUUCUGGUGUCUGUUUGCCUGUUUGUUCUUUUCCAGUUGAAGUGGUGAAAUCUCCUAUUAUCGAACCUCCAAUUGUUGAAGUGAUACUCAAAAGCAUUUUUGCUAGACUUAAUUCAAAUCAGUUGAACUUUUUGGUAAUUUUCCUCAACGAUUUCAUGUUGCUAUGCAGGCUAUAAGAAUAAAAACAUUCUAUCUCCUUAUUUCUUGGUGUGUUGGACUUGAGUUUCCAAAAGAAGAAAAGGUAAUGCAUUUUGUUAUCUCUCUUUUUUUAUUUAUUUAUAGAGUUUCCAUUGUUUGGCUGGCAUUCUUUUUAGAAUACUAGAAAUGGAGCUAGGAAGACCUUAACCCCCAGGCCCAGCCUUACAUGUACAACGGGCAGAGGAAGCUGUUUAGGUUGUGUUAGUCAACACCCUCGUCAGCUACAUUUUUGCUUCUCACAUGUAAUUUUUGUGCAAUUUUAAAAUAUGUUCAACACUUGGGCUCAUGCCUCACUUGGGUUUCAGAAGAAUCAAGUGCUGUUGAGUCCUUAAUUAGUUGCAGUCGUGAGAAAUAUCGCUAGUUUCAAGAAAAUAUUUUUCGACAUGGAUGUACGUGUUUGUGUUCAUCUUAUGGAUGUACUGUAAAGUACCUGGGGGCUUGGUCUGAAGUCUUUGGCAGAGCUUUGUAAAUGCAAUUCCACACUAUCGACAAAGAAACUAAUGCAAAGGAGAGCAAAAUUGUUUGCAAUCGUAGGCAGAUUGAGGAGUGAUCGUCAGCUGAUUCCAAUUGGCGUGGUAAUAUGAUGAUUUCUGUUCUAUUCUCAAUGCAUCUUGUGCCAUUCUUUUUCAGUGUCUUAACACAUAUAUUCAUGUAAUGUGAUCGCGAGUCUAGAAACUUUUGAUAGUUUGUUUAGUAUUUGCAACACAGUGAAAGAAGUCGAGUUCUAUCUUUUACCUUUUGAAUGUUCCUCUUUUAUAGGUUCAGUUGAUGCUAUAUGUUUUUGCUUGCAAUAUCAGUUGGAUUAUUGUUGAGUGGAGGGAGGAACUGAGGAAAGGAAGGCAGAGAUUGUUCCAGGUGUUCUCUUUAUUGAUGAGGUGAAUAUGCUCGACAUUGUGUGCUGUGCAUUUUGAAUCGAGCUUUUGAGAAUGAGAUGGCUUCGAUAUUAGUUGUUGCUACCAACAGAACUACCACCAGAGGCACAAAUUAUAGAUCCCCACGCGGAAUCCCUGUUGAUCUCCUUGAUCGCCUGCGUAUUGUUACCACCCAUCCUUAUACAGAGGAUGAAAUCCAUAAGAUUUUGGACACCAGAUGCCAAGAAGUUGAAAUGUCGGAAGAGGCAAGGCAUUUGUUGACCAAGAUUGGUGUUGAUGCAUCCUUGAGAUAUGCUAUCCAUCUCAUAACAGCUUCUGCGUUAUAAAUGUGAUGACACGUUCAUCAUCCUGCUGCGUUAGCCCAAUUGAUCUUAUAUGGGACAGUAGUCACCACGGCUUUGGAGAGUUAAAGUCCCGGCUCAGCAUCUCGAGUCUACACAGAAACUCGGAACUGCAACAAUGCAGACACCGAGAAACAAUGAGUCAUCUAUACAACAACAACAAACCUUUAUUUCACUGAGUAGGGUUGGCUAUAUGAAGCUUUAUCCCAAUAAGUCAUCUAUAUAUACAAAAAAAUAUAAUUAGUGAGUUUGCUGGAACAAGACAACGAUGGGGAAGGGAAAGUAAACAAGAAGAGGACAUUAGAUAGCAAGUGAAAUAGAGGUAUGGUGCGUUGGUUCCCUU